CGGUAGUUCGUCUGCAGUAGAUGGUGAGGCUAUACCGCUAUAAUCGUCAUAAUUUUGCAGAGUUUGAUUGAAUCGUUUAAUUGUAGUGAGUCGUCAAGUUUGCUGUUGUUUCUCAAUUGCUUUACUUAUGUUACUCACGUGUGAGUGUGACGUGGUUGAAACAAAGUGUUCCAAGUCAAAUCAAGGAAACGUUGGAACAGCACACGUGUUCAGAUCAGAUUGAUUCAAGAAGUGAGUGACAGCAAGUCAACAACACCUACCUAGAUGUGUACUGCCAGACACAAUUUUUGUCUGAAAUUUGAAGAAUUCCAAUAUCCAUUCUACAUGGAUUGAUGUUGAUUGUGAUGGGACAACAAACUAUCAGUGCAAAGAAAAGCCAGUGAGAAGAAUAUCAAAAUUGGUGUAAAAAAGGGUGGAAUCGUCAAAUGACAAUCCAGUUUUCGAAUGUGUUCAAGGUUCAACAGAGAAAAAAGUUUAAAUUGAAUCUUUGGGUCACUACCGACAUGGGCGUGAAUGCUGGUUCAAACGCAUCUAUGUAAAAAAAAUCUGCAACUGGAAAGUAAUUGGCUUUGGUGAUGAACUCUUGUCAUGGACAAAAGACACUACUCGAGCCCCCAUCAAAUGAACUGUUGGGGCCAAGAAGGAAUUUGAAAAGCCCCAUACAGUUGAGGAAUGAUCAUAAGGCAAAACAAUUGCUGCUUGUAGCAGACCCAUCCCCAGCAACGUCUACCUGCAGAAGGAAAGGUUAGUUUCCAUUUCCUUCAAUCGAAGGUCAUGGAGAUCAUUACGAAAAACGUGGCAUGCAGUGGUGUAGAGGCUGGGUGAGAACGGGACUUUUUGUAUCAUUAUCAAGAAGGUAGAACAGCCGCAAGGCUUAAGAGGUGAGGGUGAUAAAAAAAUCGUAUAAAAAGAUUGAGAAAAGGCGAAAGUAAUCAGUCGAGUGAGCAUCUCCGACGUGGCAACAGCAACUGCAGUGCAAUUUUUCACAAACUGCAUUCUUCGUCACAUUACUAGUUUUAAAUCAUGGUAAACUAUGGCGUCGUGCUGCUGUUGGGUGUUGUAUCGUUGAUGGCUGGGUCGGCCACUCGUGUAUCGAUGUCUCCUGGGUAUGGCGGAUACCAAACCGCAACGCCGCCGCCUUACUACACGACAACAACUUUCGCAAAGACCAGUUGCAACACCACUAAGGCUCCAGAGUAUUACACCACAACUUAUGAUGUCCCGAGCUACUACACCGAAACCCCGAAGUAUAAAUCUGCCCCUAGCUACAUCACCAAAGAGCCGGAGUACUACACCGAUGCUCCCAAGAUGCCCCCCCCCCCCCCCCCUACACCAAUAAUACACGACUACGUAUGCUGCCCCUGCCUACUACACCAAGUCCCCUAAUACAACAACACCGCUUGCCCCGCGAAGCCGCCCAACUACUACACCACAACCUACGCUGCCCCGAGCUACUACACCGACGCCCCGAAGUAUUACUCUGCGUAAAAUGAGUCAUCUAAAGAAAAGAAGAUAAGGAGAGAGAAAAGGCGAUCGAAUAUCGAAAUCAGUAGAGUGAGUAUCUCCGACACUUCAACAUCUGCAGUGUGUUCAGCAUCUGUCACCAACUGCAUUCCUCAUCGUGUAACCAAAUCGCAAUUAUGGUGUCGUGCUGCUGUUGGGUGUUGUAUCGUUGAUGGCUGGGUCGACCACUGGUGCACCGAUGUCUCCUUGGUAUGGCGGAUACCAAACCACAACGCCGCCGCCUUACUUCACGACAACAACUUAUGCAAAGACCAGUUACUGCACCACCGAGGCACCCAAGUACUACACCACUAAGGCACUGGAGUAUAAUACCACAACUUAAGCUGCCCCGAGCUACUACACCAUCAAGGUACCGGAGUACUACACGAAAACGAACGUCUCAUCCUACAACACCGGGGCCUAAGUACUACUCCGUUUCCAGCUACUACACCGAGGCUUCAGCUAAUUACUCCACCAAAACUGUCGAAUACUACACCGAAUCGCCGAAGUACUACUCUGCCCCGAUCUACACAACCACAACUGAGGCGGCCAAGUAUUACGCAGUCCCGACUUAUUACUACACAGAAGCUGCUCCUUCGUACUAAGUUGACAAGGAAUACCACACUGAUGCUCCAGUUUGCUACACCACAACCUACGCUAAACCUAGCUACGACACCUAAGCACUCAAGUACUACACCGAAGAAGCCGCAUAUUACACAACCACGUACGCUGCAAUAGUUUACUACACCAAGGAACCAUAGUAUUACUCCAAUCAGUAAGUCCAGCUCCAUCAUAGUAUUUACUCCAAGCAGUCGAUCUUCAUAGGACAUAUCCUGGUGCUUGGACGGAAUUCUUUUUCAGGGUUCUGAAGGAAUUCAUGGCAGACGUUGUGAUAGGCUCUUUCACAGGAAGUUUUGAGAUAAGGGAGAUGGAAAAAGGUUUUUUAAUGUCCUUAUAAUAGCCAAGUGACUGAUCAUUUAUGCAUGAAUGGAGCACUUAAAAGUGUAACAAAUAUAAUCUUUUAUCUGCUAAA
rnacentral:lncRNA from 1 species